GCCCUGAGCCUCUCUGAGCACACUUUCUUGCCUUUCUGCCUUCUGCCAUGGGAUGAUGCAGCAGAAAGGGCCCUGCUGGAUGUGAGACCCUUGACCCUGAACUUCCCAGCCUCCAGAACAGUCACUUUUAAUUAAAGAACUUAAUGAGAAGAAAACAGUCAGGGAAACAAGAGUUCCAGGUGGAUGGAAGAGCAAAAAUACAGCAUGUGAGCUCCAGUGCCCAGAAGCCUGUCUAACAAACACCUGGCAUUCACUUGAGCUCUGCUGAAUAGAGAAUGACUGAAUGAACACCAGACCUUAAGUUGCCACCUGCUCAUAUCCCACUGCAAGCUCUACAUGAACUCAAACUGUGGCAAAGACGCAAAGCCAGGAGAAAUUGUCUCGACAACCAAAACAAUCUGUAAACUUGGAUCAAGAGGACCCAUCAAUGACAAGAAUACACACGAAAAUCUUUUGGCCACUCUUGAAACAGAUCAUUCUAAUCAACAGGCAAUAACAGUGGGGACACCUGGGCCACAAUAAACCCUUUCACAACUGUGCCCUUUACCUUGGGCCCUCAUAGCCCCUCUGCUGGGAUUUGCAAGUCCUCUUCAACAAGGAGUUCCCAAACCAAGGGCCAAGACACAUCUGGAGACUGUCUCUUGGGUUUGACAGUUGUACUUUUAAGCAUUCCUGCCCUUCUGGUUUCUUGAUCCUUUGGCUCAUUUAUGAGAAGCACUGUGUAAUCAUCUGACCCUGAGCCAAGAACAGAGGCCUACAGAGGCCCUGGCUAAUGUGGGAACUAAGCUUUCAGCUUUGUGGGCUGAGUCUGCUGAGCUAAGCAGCUUCCUAGGACUGUCAGAGGAUUGGUGCUACUUAAGUGCAGUUGUUCUAUUACACUCUUUUCUAUGAGUUGGAUGAGCCUUUGCGGAUUAAACAGUUGUUUGCACUUCCCCAGUUCCACGCUGACUUUUAUAACAUAUCACCAAAAGGUGUUUCACAUUGAAUGGAGUGUUAUAAGGUUCCAUAUGGUGAGGUAUGGUUUCCUCCUGCCUGGAGUUCUGAAUCAUUCUGCAAUUUGUGUGAAUCUGCUUUGCUAUCAGGUUCUUGAAGAUGGGGCAAGGUACUGUCCCAACAUCAGAGGAAGGAUGUCCAUAUCCUUCUGGUUCCUGUGCUAUUCUUGAUCCUUACUGGCCUCCAAGUAGAAGGCCCUUGCUCCAAGGGUCCCUCACCAUCCCAUUCUGGCAUAUGGUGAGGUAUGCCUGGCCCUGCCAGAUCUUUGGGAUGUGGUGCUGGCUGUCACUGCUGAAGUCCAUGGCCCCUCUGCCACCUUCCUCUGAUACCACUAAACUCAGCAAAGAAGACUGGAGAUGUAUGUUACACAUGUGACUAUUGUAAUGAAUUCAGAUAUGCUUUUCUUCUGAUACAGAAAAUAUUUUAUAAUUAAAAGAAGAUGGUUCCUUAUAUAUGUGCCUUUUCAAUGGCCAUCAACAAUUCAUAGCUACAGAUUCUGCUAUGUCUGCAUAGCAACAGACUCAGUCUGCUUAUACCUUAUGAAUUAUAAAUUUACUCAUGGACGAGUGUGUGUUGUUCUCUCAAAGGUUUGAUUAUUUAGAUUCAUUAAGUGUUGUACUCGAAAGAAAUAAGACUGGUAACUGUAUUUUAAUAAAGUAUUUAAAUACCUAAACAUGUUAAUAUUUUAACAGAUAUAAGAGUGUAUUGUGCUGUAGGUACAGGUAUUUAUUAUUGUUGUUAUUGUUUUUAAAUAGAGUAGGACUUCGAAAGGAAACCACAAGGAACUUUAAGUCCUGCUUUUAAUCACCGUCACCUUAUUUUACAAAGAAAAAUAUAUUUCAUUCAUGUAAGUUGCUAUUCAUAUUUAGUUAUAUAUUUCUACAUUAUGAAGAAAGUAUUCACCCUGAGGCGGGGAAAACAGAAUCCCCAGUUAGCUCCUAUUGAAUGCCUCCAUCCUGGAAUACUGUACAACCGACACAUGCAUUGGAAUUAUUCAUGCUGCUUGUAUACCUUGGGAGAUGAACACCUUGAAGACAAACUCAGAAUUUCAACAAACCCCUCAGGGUCUAUUCAUGGAAGCCUGGUUGGGUCUCUUCUUUUGGAGAACUAAUAAAUUAGUCCACACAACUGAACUUGCUGAAGGUAAAUUUGGAGUUGGCCAACUUUUGCUGUAUAACAAGCAGUGUUUGUGUACAGUGUCUGUUAGGCAUUUUACUAUCCACUGGCUAAUAUGUUCAGGGCAGGAACAUCCCUUUCUACCCCAUGGCUCUCCCUUUUCUCUACAUGCAAGGAAGUAUGUAACUGGGCACAGUGCUGCUUUGAUCUGGUUUUCAUUAUGUGAUAAUUGUGGACUUUCUAAAUUGUAAAUGUCUGUGACUUUUUCCCCAGCAGUCAGACAAUCUAUGCUCUGGGAAAAUUAAAGGGAAAAAUCUCAGGUAACAAGAGGAGCAACAUGAAGCAAUACUUUGCUAUAAUCAUCCUCUUACUAGCUGAGGUCCAAAAUGCUGUAUUGAGUGAAAUAACAUGAUUAGAGUUAAAUAAAUAAUGACAGCUAAGAGAGAAAUCAGCUAGAAAGAAGUUAUUUCAGCCUAUUAAGAAAGGAGAUGAGAUGUUGCUCAAAGGAAAAAGGCCCGUAUAUGAAGAGUGUCAAAAUAAAGGAAUGAAAAAAGAAAUAAAUGAAGUCUGAAGAGCAUGCUAGAAAAGGCAGAUGGAUAAUUUUAAGCAAAAUGUGUUGCACAGUGGGAUUGGAGCUGAAUGGGAGGAGGUUUGAUUGUGUAAGCAGUUCCAGGUUUCUUGCUUUAUAACAGGGAUCUGCAACCUUUUUCUCUAAAGGGCUAGAUAGUAAAUAUUUUAGGUUUUGUAGGUCAGAAUAUCUCUCACUCUACUACUCAAUGCUGUCAUUGUAACAUGAAGGCAGGCAUAGACACCACCUAACAAAUGGGUGUCUCUAUGUUCCAAUAAAACUUUAUAAAAUCUGAUGGUAAGCUGGAUAUAGCCCACAGGCUGUAGUUCUGUAGUUCUGACUCCUGGUUUAGAUGAUCAAAGUGGUGGCAGUUCCUUUCUCCAUUGAAUGGGACUCAUAUUAGUUUGGUGCAAAAGUCAUUAAUUUUGCAAUUACCUUAAUUAAAGGUGCCAUUACCUUUAAGGGAAAAGACCACAAUGACUUUUGCACCAAAGUUUGGUGUUUGUGAGGAUUAAAUAACAAGUGUGAAAAGUCCUAACACAGUGCUUAGCACAAGGUCCACACUCAAAUGUUAUCUCACCCACCGUCUUUCAAGUCAGUGAUCAUACUCCACAGGGAAGCAUUCAUGGCUUCAGUUAAUCGUGCAUAUAAAUUGAAGACAGAAAAACAGGUAGAAAAGAAAGACAUGAUAAAUGAAAGGUCAUUAUUGAUUUUGGUUUGGUUUUUCAAUACAUACAACUCAGGACAAAUCAUUAAAAUGCAUCUUCUUGCAAACUGAAGAAACAGAGCAAAGUACAACUACAAAAACAAAUUAUCUCAGGUUGAUAUAAUUUUCAUUUUCAUGACAAUAGGCUCAUUUUCCUCAUCUUUCAUUGAGCUUGUUAAACUUUAAGAAAAUCCCUACUUUUAAGAAAUGAUUUUUUUUAACAGUAGAGGCAGAAAUAUACUGAUAUAGGUGAAUUGUACUUAACCAAAAUUGUAAAAUCGUCUAUUUAACAUUGUUAAUUUCAGUUAAAUGGCAUCUCAAUUUUGACUGGAAGUAGAAUCACUCUGGUUUUGGUUUUUCAUAGACUCUGAGUAGCACCACUGCAGGUUCUUUGAAGCAUUUCUAAAUGAGGUAAUUUUAUUUUACAAGGGGUUUCUUGUAAAAACUAUUGUCUUUCUGUACAUCUAAUUAAAAUAAAGAUGUAAUAAAGAAUUUACUGUUUUAAUUAGGGCAUAGAUCUUAAAGCAAUUAUCCUGUCAUUAAUAAUUCCUUAACAGACUUUCUUGCACAAGAUGAAUAAAAAGAUUUUUAAGCUGUGAAAAAUCAAUACACAUUACUCAUUUACAUUAACAAAGCUACACAAAGUAAUCUGAGCCUUCAUUAAAUUAUUUCUCCUGUAAACCAGAGAAGUUUGGAGAGUUAUUAGCUAUUUAUAACCUAGUGGAACUUCACUUACAAGAGAGAAAUCUUACCCAUGACUGGGCAGUUGUAUCAAUGUCAUUUAAAUGAACAGCCAAAUAGGAUUAAUAUAUUAGUGAGUGGAAAUAGAUUGAUAUGGUCCAUAAGGAUGACUAAAUGAUGAAAGCUAUCAUCAUGGUGUUAUAAUAUGAAUGAUUCAGCACUCCAUCUGAAAAUUACAUGUCUUAACAGUUUUUUUUCAGUGUUGUAAUUAAAGUCCCUCCCCUCCAUACCCCCACCAUCUGCCAUAUACACAUUUGGCUGUCUUUUAGGCAAUGUAGCAUCUAGGAGACACUAAGAUCACUGAGCUUAAAAUACAAUCAUGAAGGUAUCUCAAGUAGUAUUGCCAGACUUUGGUAUUUUCUAUAAUUUCAUCUAAUAUUAUAGGAUAAUCUGGGAAGGGCAAAACCAAACCAAACAAAAACUCAAAAUGAUUUUUUUUUGUUAGAAAAGGAAAGGCUAUGUUGUUAUGAGAAGCCAUUAAGAAGAAGAAAAAAUAUUUUGCAAUCUAAAUUUUAGUUACAUUGUCCCUAAUUGAUAAUUUGGAGGCAGAUGGAAACCCUUACAUGUGAAAGCAAAAGGUCCAAGACCACAUAUUGUCCAGUUUCCCUGCGGAAGAAUUGUCUAAGAAAUUAAAUGAAUCAAUCCGUAACUGCAACAGGGACUUUGGGUCCUUGUUCCUGUCUGUGUUGUUUCCUGAGCCCAUCAAGGUGACGGUUAAUGGGAAGAGGUAUUAACACAAGUUCUUGUUGGGUCAUUUGGUAAAGCCCUCAAUUAGCAUGGCCAGAUUUUAAUGAAUAUUAAGUAAUGAUGAUGAAAUUAAAAGCAUCCGGAAAGACAGCAGUAAUCAAACCGGUCUGUGAACGUAUGGCUGAAAAAGCUGUUCUGGGGUCCUUGUGAGAAAUUUGCUCCAGGACCCUUAUAAGAAUUUAGAGAGGAUUGCUCACCAAUUUUUCAUUAUAUAUAUAUGCCUGUUUCAAUAUAUAUAAAACAGGCUUAAUGGACCUCACAGUUCCACAUGGCUGGGAGGCCUCACAAUCAUGGCAGAAGGUAAAAGGCACUUCUUACAUGGCAGCAGGCAACACAGAAUGAGAGCCAAGUGAAAGAGGAAACCCUUAUAAAAUCAUCAGAUCUCAUGAGGCUUAUUCACUACCACAAGAACAUUAUAGGAGAAACCAUCCCCAUGAUUCAAUUAUCUCCCACUGUGUUCCUCCCACAAUAUGUGGGAAUUAUGGGAGCUACAGUUCUAAGACGAGAUUUGGGUGGGGACAUAGCCAAACCAUAUCUACCCUGGCCCCUCCCAAAUCUCAUGUCCUCACAUUUCAAAACCAUUCAUGUUGUCCCAACAGUACCCCAAAGUCUUAACUCAUUUCAGCAUUAACUCAAAGGUCCACAGUACAAAAUCUCAUCUGAGACAAGGCAAGUCCCUUCCACCUAUGAGCCUGUAAAAUCAAAAGCAAGUUAGUUACUUCUUAGAUACAAUGGGGGUACAGGCAUUGGGUAAAUACAGCCAUUCCAAAUAAGAGAAAUUGGCCAAAACAAAGGGGCUACAGGCCCGAUGCAAAUCUGAAAUCCAGUGGGGCAGUCAAAUCUUAAAGCUCCAAUUUGAUCUCCUUUGACUCCAGGUCUCACAUCCAGGUCACGCUCAUGCAAGAGGUGGACCCACAGCUUUGGGUAUCUCUGCCCUGUAGCUUUGCACGGUAUAGCCCUGCUCCUGGCUGCUUUCAUGGGCUGGCGUUGAGUGUCUGUGGCUUUUCCAGGUGCAAGGUGCAAGCUCUCAGUGGAUCUACCAUUCUGGGUUCUAGAGGAUGGUGGGUGGCCGUCUUCUCAUAGCUCCACUAGGCAGUACCUCAGUGUGGGGACUCUGUGUGGGGUUUCACACCCCAAAAUUCCCUUCUGCACUGCCCUAGCAGAGGCUGUUCAUGAGGGUCCUGCCCCUGCAGCACACCUCUGUCUGGACAUCCAGGCAUUUCCAUACAUCCUCUGAAAUCUAGGUGGAAGUUCCCAAACCCCAAUUCUUGACUUAUUUGCACCCACAGGCCCAACACCACAUGUAAGCCUCCAAGGCUCGGGGCUCGAACCCUCUGAAGCAAUGGCCUGAGGUCUACGUUGGUCUGUUGUAGCCACAGCUGGGAUGCAGAGCACCAAGUCCCAAGACUGCACAAAGUAGCAAGGCCCUGGGCCUGGCCAGGAAGCCAUUUUUUCCUCCUAGGCCUCUGGGUCUGUGAUGGGAGGGGCUGCCAUGAAGACCUCUGACAUGCCCUGGAGACAUUUUCCCCACUGUCUUGGUGAUUAACACUUGGCUCCUCAUUACUUAUGCAAAUUUCUCCAGCCAGCUUGAAUUUCUCCUCAGAAAAUGGGUUUUCCUUUUCUAUCUCAUGGUUAGGUUGCAAAUUUUCUGCACUUUUAUGCUCUGCUUGCUCUUUAAACCUAAGUUCCAAUUCCAAACCAUACCUUUGUGAAUGAAUAAAACUGAAUGCUUUUAAUAGUAGCCAAGUCACAUCUUGAAUGCAUUGCUGAUUAGGAAUUUCUUUCACCAGAUGUCCUAAAUCAUCUCUCUCAAGUUCAAAGUUCCACAGAUCUCUAGGGCAGGGGCAAAAUGCCACCACUCCUUUUGCUAAAACAUAACAAGAGUCACCUUUGCUCCAGUUCCCAACAAGUUUCUCAUCUCCAUCUGAGACCACCUCAACCUGGACUUUAUUGUCCAUAUCACUAUAAGCAUUUUGGUGAAAGGCAUUCAACAAAUCUCUAGGAAGUUCCAAAGUUUCCUACAUUUUCCUGUCUUCUUCUGAGCCCUCCAAACUGUUCCAACCUCUGCCUGUUAUCCAGUUCCAAAGUCGCGUCCACAUUUUCAGUUAUCUUUACAGGAGCACCACACUCCCAGUACCAACUUACUGUAUUAGUCUGUUUUAACACUGCUGAUAAAGACAUACCUCAGACUGGGUAAUUUAUAAAGAAAAAGAGGUUUAAUGGACUCAAAGUUCCACAUGGCUUUGGAGGCCUCACAAUCAUGGAGGAAGGUGAAAGGCAUGUCUUACAUGGUGGCAGGCAAGAGAGAAUGAGAGCCAAGUGAAAAGGGAAACCCCUUAUAAAAAUCAUCAGCUCUUGUGAGACUUAUUCACUACCAUGAGAAAAUUAUGGGAGAAACCGCCCCCCAUGAUUCAAUUGUCUCCAACUGGGUUCCUCCCACAACAUGUGGGAGUUAUGGGAGCUACCACUCAAGAUGAGAUUUGGGUGGGGACACAGCCAAACCAUACCACUCCACCCCUGCCCACUCCCAAAUCUCAUGUUUUCACAUUUCAAAACCAUUACAAUCAAUUAUUGUGAUGCAAUCUUGAAUCUAUAGCCAAAUUUCCCACUUCUCAAGAUUUAUUGGAAAAAAUUAUCCCUAGUGUCCCUCAGAACUGUUUGGUUUUCUUUUUUUAACAUUUAGACCUUUUUCAUCCAUCUCCAAUGAACAGCAUUGGAGUUGUUUAUCUAGUAGAGUAUGUAUAUAAUUUAUGACAAAGUUAAUUUCAAUGAUCCUCAAGUAAGCGUUUUUUCAGUACCCCCCAUGACUAUUAUAGUCAACUUUCUUGUUCUCAGAAACACAUGAAUUAAUAUUUCACAGAUGAAGCACAAAUAAUCAAUAAACUUAUGAAACUGCUUAGUAACAAUAUUUAUUAAAUUAGUCAACAUUAAAAAAAACCUCAGCUGACAUGGGUAUGGUGACAGAUAAUCUCUUUACCCAGUGAUGUGACUGUGAAUUACUUUCUGGAAAGCAAUUUGCCUAUAUGUUACAAGAGCCU
rnacentral:lncRNA from 1 species